rnacentral:misc_RNA from 1 species
AACGGUCUAUACCUGCGGUACCUGCGGAGGGAUCAUUACAGAGUUCUUGCCCUGCUGGGGUAGGUCUCCCAACCUUUGUGAUUUCUGCCGUCGUUGCUUUGGCGGGCCGCCCUCACGGCCACGCGUGCCCGCCAGAGGCCUCGCAGACCCUGACCGUGUGUGUCGUCUGAGCACUGUCUAAUAGAUUAAAACUUUCAGCAACGGAUCUCU